AGCGAACGCUGGCGGCAGGCUUAACACAUGCAAGUCGAGCGGGCAUAGCAAUAUGUCAGCGGCAGACGGGUGAGUAACGCGUGGGAACGUACCUUUUGGUUCGGAACAACACAGGGAAACUUGUGCUAAUACCGGAUAAGCCCUUACGGGGAAAGAUUUAUCGCCGAAAGAUCGGCCCGAGUCUGAUUAGCUAGUUGGUGAGGUAAUGGCUCACCAAGGAGAAGAUCAGGAGCUGGUCUGAGAGGAGGAUCAGCCACAUUGGGACGGGGAGCAGGCACAAACUCCUACGGGAGACAGCAGUGGGGAAUAUUGGACAAUGGGCGCAAGACUGAUCCAGCCAUGCCGCGUGAGUGAUGAAGGCCCUAGGGUUGUAAAGCUCUUUUGUGCGGGAAGAUAAUGACGGUACCGCAAGAAUAAGCCCCGGCUAACUUCGUGCCAGCCGCCGCGGUAAAAC
rnacentral:rRNA from 1 species